rnacentral:lncRNA from 1 species
AUGCAGAUAAGAAACCUGGGAAACCACAAGAAAGCCAAGUAGCCUGGGAAAAAAUGGGCAUUGAGCCACGAGCAAAAAAUAACAGUUGAUCCUGUUGGUGCCACCUGACAGCAGAGACGGCCAAGGACCCCUGAGCGUGAGUCUGGAGAGCUGCCCUGCAGCCCCACUCUGCCUUUCCAGGAUGAGCCUUCUCCAGGAAGCCACUGCUCAUUCAGAAAGUGAAGAAUGCCAGUGUUUCCAACACCAGCCCCAGCUCUGCUGACGUCUCAGAAUGGCAGGACCAUGCAUGAUGGAACACCAGGCAGAGGAGAUGCAAAUA